rnacentral:rRNA from 1 species
CGAAGGAUCCAAGCGUUGUCCGGAUUUACUGGGUUUAAAGGGUGCGUAGGCGGACUUUUAAGUCAGUGGUGAAAGCCUGUAGCUUAACUAUAGAAUUGCCAUUGAAACUGAAAGUCUCGAGUGUGGUUGAGGUAACUGGAAUAUAUCAUGUAGCGGUGAAAUGCUUAGAUAUGAUAUAGAACACCAAUUGCGAAGGCAGGUUACUGAGCCAUUACUGACGCUGAGGCACGAAAGCGUGGGGAUCAAACAGGAUUAGAUACCCUGGUAGUCCACCCCGUAAACGUUGCAUACUCGAUCUUAGCGAUACACAGUUAGGAUCCAAGCGAAAGCGUUAAGUAUGCCACCUGGGAAGUACGAUCGCAAGAUUG